rnacentral:lncRNA from 1 species
UCUCUCGGCUGAGAACCAGAGGCUGAAGGAGAAGAGACCUGAUCAGGAGGGGGGGAGGACCCAUCUCUCGGCUGAGAACCAGAGGCUGAAGCGGCAGGUAUGUGUGCUGUGGGAGGUGGUGAUCCAUUUCCUGACUGAGAAUCAUCAGCUGAAGCAGCCGGAUCAGGAUCCUGUGGAUCUGAAAUCCCUUCUUCCAGUUGAGUUCCCAAAGGUGGAGGAACAAGACCAUGAUCAGGACGAGGUGACCCGACUCUUGGCUGAGAACCAGAGGCUGAAGGAGCAGGUAGACUCACUGACGGAUGUUGUGUCCCAUAACCUGGCUGAGAACAACAAACUGAAGCUGCAGCGCCCUGAUCGGGAAGAGCCGGUGUCCCGCCUGAAGCAAGAGGGGCCGCUCAGGAAUAGACAGGGAGACUCUGGAACCCCCCAAACAGCUAAAAGAGUUUCGGCUUCAUUGCCCAGAGGAAUAACAUCUGAUGUAGACUUCUUUGUCCAGUUCCGGACUUCUGGGAAAACAGGUGGCUGCGAGGAGAAGUUCUUAAAGUAUGUCUCAAAGCACCCGUUCCGCAAAGGAGUCUCUCUAAAAGUGAAGGAGUUCAGGGAGACCUCGAAACACCUCCUUCUGCUCUUCUGCCCCAUAGCAUCCCGCAUGGGCACGGACAUCGAAAACGCCCUCGAGGGACUCAGUGAUUUAGGGGGUUGGAGACUAAAGGGAGCAUGCAAUAAGGAUCAGAGGGAAGUGGAGCACAGGAAAAAGUGUGCUGAAUAACGCUGGUCAAUGACCGUAACAAAGAUUGAAUUGAAAAAAAGGACUCUUUCCCUAUGGGUUUCCCUAUCUCUUCAGUCUCCCCAUAAUAAAUAAAAUGUGUUGGUCUUGAAGAGGUCA